rnacentral:rRNA from 1 species
UACGUAGGGGGCUAGCGUUGUCCGGAAUCAUUGGGCGUAAAGAGCGUGUAGGCGGUCCGGUAAGUCCGCUGUGAAAGUCGGGGGCUCAACCCUCGAAUGCCGGUGGAUACUGUCGGGCUAGAGUGCGGAAGAGGCGAGUGGAAUUCCUGGUGUAGCGGUGAAAUGCGCAGAUAUCAGGAGGAACACCUAUUGCGAAGGCAGCCUCUGGGACGUUACUGACGCUGAGACGCGAAAAGCGUGGGGGAGCAAACAGG